CGUAGGGUGCAAGCGUUAAUCGGAAUUACUGGGCGUAAAGCGUGCGCAGGCGGUUGUGCAAGACAGAUGUGAAAUCCCCGGGCUCAACCUGGGAACUGCAUUUGUGACUGCACGGCUAGAGUGUGUCAGAGGGGGGUAGAAUUCCACGUGUAGCAGUGAAAUGCGUAGAUAUGUGGAGGAAUACCGAUGGCGAAGGCAGCCCCCUGGGAUAACACUGACGCUCAUGCACGAAAGCGUGGGGAGCAAACAGG
rnacentral:rRNA from 1 species